rnacentral:tRNA from 1 species
GCCUGGGUAGCUCACUAGAUUGAGUGUCUGACUUUGGCUCAGGUCAUGAUCUCGAGGUUUGUGGGUUCGAGCCCCACGUUGGGCU